rnacentral:tRNA from 2 species
GCGUCCAUAGCUCAGUUGGAUAGAGUGUCAGUUUCCGAAGCUGAAGGUCGCAGGUUCGAUUCCUGCUGGACGCGCCA